UACGUAGGGUGCGAGCGUUGUCCGGAAUUACUGGGCGUAAAGAGUUCGUAGGCGGUUUGUCACGUCGUCUGUGAAAACCCACCGCUCAACGGUGGGCCUGCAGGCGAUACGGGCAGACGUUGAGUACUGCAGGGGAGACUGGAAGUUCCUGGUGUAGCGGUGAAAUGCGCAGAUAUCAGGAGGAACACCGGUGGCGAAGGCGGGUCUCGUGGGCAGUGAACUGACGUGGAGGAACGAAAGCGUGGGUAGCAAACAGG
rnacentral:rRNA from 1 species